rnacentral:rRNA from 1 species
CCCUUAGAUGUUCUGGGCCGCACACGCGCUACACUGAAGGAGGCAGCGUGUACUCCUGGAUCGAAAGAUUUGGGUAACCCGCGAAUCUCCUUCGUGCUAGGGAUUGAGGUCUGCAAUUAUCCUUCAUGAACGAGGAAUUCCCAGUAAGUGCAAGUCAUAAGCUUGCGCUGACUACGUCCCUGCCCUUUGUACACACCGCCCGUCGCUACUACCGAUUGAAUGAUUUAGUGAGGACUUCGGACUGGGACCGAUGCGGCUUUCGGGCUGCGUCGGUAUUCUGGAAAGAUGUCCAAACUGUAUCAUUUAGAGGAAGUAAAAGUCGUAACA